UGAAUAGCUUGUCAACGUCUUUUAAAAAGGAUGUUGACGGUCAGAUCUUUGAUUGUCACCUGCAUGAUUUGCAUAAUUGUAAAUCAAGUCGAAAGUACAUGCCGGAACUACUGUGAUAACCCCAAGACCGGUAAAGGAAAACGCCCUUGUUCUUCUACACAAACAAGACAAGGAACCAGUUACCAUUCUUUUGGUCUUCUAUGGUCUAGUCAGUGUGCAAAAGGAAGCUACCUUAGCUACUCUAAGGCGUAUAAAUGCUGUGACAUAACUUGUCCAG